rnacentral:rRNA from 1 species
AAACUUUCAACAACGGAUCUCUUGGCUCUGGCAUCGAUGAAGAACGCAGCGAAACGCGAUAAGUAAUGUGAAUUGCAGAAUCCAGUGAAUCAUCGAGUCUUUGAACGCACAUUGCGCCCGCCAGCAUUCUGGCGGGCAUGCCUGUUCGAGCGUCAUUUC